GACGAACGCUGGCGGCGUGCUUAACACAUGCAAGUCGAACGGAAAGGCCCUGCUUUUGUGGGGUGCUCGAGUGGCGAACGGGUGAGUAACACGUGAGUAACCUGCCCUUGACUUUGGGAUAACUUCAGGAAACUGGGGCUAAUACCGGAUAGGAGCUCCUGCCGCAUGGUGGGGGUUGGAAAGUUUCGGCGGUUGGGGAUGGACUCGCGGCUUAUCAGCUUGUUGGUGGGGUAGUGGCUUACCAAGGCUUUGACGGGUAGCCGGCCUGAGAGGGUGACCGGCCACAUUGGGACUGCGAGACGGCGCAGACUGCUACGGGAGGCAACGGUGGGAAAUAUUACACAGUGGGCGGGAGCCUGAUACGACGGCGCCGCGUGCGGGAUGACCGCCUUCGGGUUAUGAACCGCUUUCGCCUGUGACGAAGCGUGAGUGACGGUAAUGGGUAAAGAAGCACCGGCUAACUACGUG
rnacentral:rRNA from 1 species